rnacentral:rRNA from 1 species
CAGUAGCCACUGGAAUACGGAGGGGGCUAGCGCUGUUCGGAAUUACUGGGCGUAAAGCGCACGUAGGCGGCUUGGUAAGUUAGAGGUGAAAGCCUGGAGCUCAACUCCAGAAUUGCCUUUAAGACUGCCGAGCUAGCAGGUGAGAGAGGUAAGUGGAAUUCCGAGUGUAGAGGUGAAAUUCGUAGAUAUUCGGAAGAACACCAGUGGCGAAGGCGGCUUACUGGCUCAUACUGGACGCUGAGGUGCGAAAGCGUGGGGAGCAAACAGGAUUAGAUACCCCAGUAGUCCCUGUCUCUUAUAA